rnacentral:lncRNA from 1 species
UUAGAGAAAAAAAAAAGGAGCUCUUCAGUAAGGAUUGUGAAUAUAAUUUUUUUUUUUUUUUUGAGAGAUAGGUUGCACGCUAGCCGCUUCGUUUAUUUCAUUUAGAAAUAAACUUAGCUGGAAAUGCGAAUCAACUAGGAUUCGAACUUGGAUCUCGAGUACCAACCACCAAACCCUUUGCCACUUGCUCUAGGGACGGUCGGCGGAUUGUGAAUAUAAUUAAAUGAA